GUCGAGAGGCUUCGGCAAUGGGGGCAACCCUGACCGAGCGACGCCGCGUGGGGGAUGAAGGCCCUUGGGUUGUAAACCCCUUUUGUUCGGGAAGAAAUGCGAUCAGGUGAAUAAUCUGGUCGUUUGACGGUACCGGACGAAUAAGCUCCGGCUAACUCCGUGCCAGCAGCCGCGGUAACACGGGGGGAGCAAGCGUUGUUCGGAAUCACUGGGCGUAAAGGGCGUGUAGGCGGUCAGGUAAGUGAGACGUGAAAUGCCUCGGCUCACCCGAGGAGCGGCGUCUCAUACUGCUUGGCUUGAGUACGGGAGAGGAUGUGGGAAUUCCUGGUGUAGCGGUGAAAUGCGUAGAUAUCAGGAGGAACACCGGUGGCGAAGGCGCACAUCUGGCCCGAUACUGACGCUGAGGCGCGAAAGCUAGGGGAGCAAACGGGAUUAGAAACCCCAGUAGUCC
rnacentral:rRNA from 1 species